rnacentral:lncRNA from 12 species
ACAUGGGGGCAGGUGUUGUGCUGGUGACAGCCAGGAGCAGAGUGGAUUGAAGCUGGCUCCGAGCUCAUCAGCUUUACCACCAAGGGAUUGGAAACCCAAGUCUGCUGCCAAACUUGAGUCUUAGCAACGAGCUCUUCCUCACGCCAGGUCUUUCUAUUAUUUGUUUGGUAU